rnacentral:tRNA from 1 species
GGGCCGGUGGUCUAGCCUGGUUAGGACGUCUGCCUUACGCGCAGAAGGUCCCAGGUUCAAAUCCUGGCCGGCCCACCA